GGUUAAGCGACUAAGCGUACACGGUGGAUGCCCUGGCAGUCAGAGGCGAUGAAGGACGUGCUAAUCUGCGAUAAGCGUCGGURAGGUGAUAUGAACCGUUAUAACCGGCGAUUUCCGAAUGGGGAAACCCAGUGUGUUUCGACACACUAUCAUUAACUGAAUCCAUAGGUUAAUGAGGCGAACCGGGGGAACUGAAACAUCUAAGUACCCCGAGGAAAAGAAAUCAACCGAGAUUCCCCCAGUAGCGGCGAGCGAACGGGGAGCAGCCCAGAGCCUGAAUCAGUGUGUGUGUUAGUGGAAGCGUCUGGAAAGGCGYGCGAUACAGGGUGACAGCCCCGUACACAAAAAUGCACAUACUGUGAGCUCGAUGAGUAGGGCGGGACACGUGGUAUCCUGUCUGAAUAUGGGGGGACCAUCCUCCAAGGCUAAAUACUCCUGACUGACCGAUAGUGAACCAGUACCGUGAGGGAAAGGCGAAAAGAACCCCGGCGAGGGGAGUGAAAAAGAACCUGAAACCGUGUACGUACAAGCAGUGGGAGCCUCUUAAUGGGGUGACUGCGUACCUUUUGUAUAAUGGGUCAGCGACUUAUAUUCUGUAGCAAGGUUAACCGAAUAGGGGAGCCGAAGGGAAACCGAGUCUUAACUGGGCGUUAAGUUGCAGGGUAUAGACCCGAAACCCGGUGAUCUAGCCAUGGGCAGGUUGAAGGUUGGGUAACACUAACUGGAGGACCGAACCGACUAAUGUUGAAAAAUUAGCGGAUGACUUGUGGCUGGGGGUGAAAGGCCAAUCAAACCGGGAGAUAGCUGGUUCUCCCCGAAAGCUAUUUAGGUAGCGCCUCGUGAAUUCAUCUCCGGGGGUAGAGCACUGUUUCGGCAAGGGGGUCAUCCCGACUUACCAACCCGAUGCAAACUGCGAAUACCGGAGAAUGUUAUCACGGGAGACACACGGCGGGUGCUAACGUCCGUCGUGAAGAGGGAAACAACCCAGACCGCCAGCUAAGGUCCCAAAGUCAUGGUUAAGUGGGAAACGAUGUGGGAAGGCCCAGACAGCCAGGAUGUUGGCUUAGAAGCAGCCAUCAUUUAAAGAAAGCGUAAUAGCUCACUGGUCGAGUCGGCCUGCGCGGAAGAUGUAACGGGGCUAAACCAUGCACCGAAGCUGCGGCAGCGACACUAUGUGUUGUUGGGUAGGGGAGCGUUCUGUAAGCCUGYGAAGGUGUACUGUGAGGUAUGCUGGAGGUAUCAGAAGUGCGAAUGCUGACAUAAGUAACGAUAAAGCGGGUGAAAAGCCCGCUCGCCGGAAGACCAAGGGUUCCUGUCCAACGUUAAUCGGGGCAGGGUGAGUCGACCCCUAAGGCGAGGCCGAAAGGCGUAGUCGAUGGGAAACAGGUUAAUAUUCCUGUACUUGGUGUUACUGCGAAGGGGGGACGGAGAAGGCUAUGUUGGCCGGGCGACGGUUGUCCCGGUUUAAGCGUGUAGGCUGRUUUUCCAGGCAAAUCCGGAAAAUCAAGGCUGAGGCGUGAUGACGAGGCACUACGGUGCUGAAGCAACAAAUGCCCUGCUUCCAGGAAAAGCCUCUAAGCAUCAGGUAACAUCAAAUCGUACCCCAAACCGACACAGGUGGUCAGGUAGAGAAUACCAAGGCGCUUGAGAGAACUCGGGUGAAGGAACUAGGCAAAAUGGUGCCGUAACUUCGGGAGAAGGCACGCUGAUAUGUAGGUGAAGUCCCUYGCGGAUGGAGCUGAAAUCAGUCGAAGAUACCAGCUGGCUGCAACUGUUUAUUAAAAACACAGCACUGUGCAAACACGAAAGUGGACGUAUACGGUGUGACGCCUGCCCGGUGCCGGAAGGUUAAUUGAUGGGGUUAGCGGUAACGCGAAGCUCUUGAUCGAAGCCCCGGUAAACGGCGGCCGUAACUAUAACGGUCCUAAGGUAGCGAAAUUCCUUGUCGGGUAAGUUCCGACCUGCACGAAUGGCGUAAUGAUGGCCAGGCUGUCUCCACCCGAGACUCAGUGAAAUUGAACUCGCUGUGAAGAUGCAGUGUACCCGCGGCAAGACGGAAAGACCCCGUGAACCUUUACUAUAGCUUGACACUGAACAUUGAGCCUUGAUGUGUAGGAUAGGUGGGAGGCUUUGAAGUGUGGACGCCAGUCUGCAUGGAGCCGGCCUUGAAAUACCACCCUUUAAUGUUUGAUGUUCUAACGUUGGCCCCUGAUCGGGGUUGCGGACAGUGUCUGGUGGGUAGUUUGACUGGGGCGGUCUCCUCCUAAAGAGUAACGGAGGAGCACGAAGGUUGGCUAAUCCUGGUCGGACAUCAGGAGGUUAGUGCAAUGGCAUAAGCCAGCUUGACUGCGAGCGUGACGGCGCGAGCAGGUGCGAAAGCAGGUCAUAGUGAUCCGGUGGUUCUGAAUGGAAGGGCCAUCGCUCAACGGAUAAAAGGUACUCCGGGGAUAACAGGCUGAUACCGCCCAAGAGUUCAUAUCGACGGCGGUGUUUGGCACCUCGAUGUCGGCUCAUCACAUCCUGGGGCUGAAGUAGGUCCCAAGGGUAUGGCUGUUCGCCAUUUAAAGUGGUACGCGAGCUGGGUUUAGAACGUCGUGAGACAGUUCGGUCCCUAUCUGCCGUGGGCGCUGGAGAACUGAGGGGGGCUGCUCCUAGUACGAGAGGACCGGAGUGGACGCAUCACUGGUGUUCGGGUUGUCAUGCCAAUGGCACUGCCCGGUAGCUAAAUGCGGAAGAGAUAAGUGCUGAAAGCAUCUAAGCACGAAACUUGCCCCGAGAUGAGUUCUCCCUGACUCCUUGAGAGUCCUGAAGGAACGUUGAAGACGACGACGUUGAUAGGCCGGGUGUGUAAGCGCAGCGAUGCGUUGAGCUAACCGGUACUAAUGAACCGUGAGGCUUAACCUU
rnacentral:rRNA from 1 species